UAAACUAAAUUUCCACCCACUUCCCUUUGCUUUAUUCCCCACACAAACAAACCCCAUUUUCAAAUCUCCUCUACACAACAUCAAGGAUUACAGCACACACAAACAAAUACUCUCUCUCUCUCUCCAUGUAAAGAUAACAAACAACAACACCUCAUUCAUUCAUGGCUCACCAAUCCUCUUCUUCUGAAUCUGAUGACCGCCAGAUUCCUUCUCAUCAUCAGCCAUUGGACCUAAACAGUCCCCAUCCUUCUAAAGAUAUCAUCUUCAACAACAACAUGGAACUACAACAAGAAGAGAGCAACCUUAACAAGCAUGAAUAUGAUGAAGAUAUUAGAGAUAAAGAUAAGGAUGUUGUUACUACACAAAACCCAUCUGCAGCUUCAGAAACGACCCUUCUUUGUUGCAACGAGGAGAAUAUGGCAUUACAAGAAGAAGAGACUUCAGAUGUUGCAGCAGCAAAAGAAGAAGAAGAAGAAGAAGAUAGUGGACGCGAGAGGCUGAAUAGGCAUAGAGUUGAAGUGGCUGGGAGGGUAUGGAUUCCUGAUAUAUGGGGUCAGGAGGAGCUAUUGAAGGAUUGGAUAGAUUGCACUGCAUUUGAUGCUACUUUAGUUCCAAGCAGAAUCUCCACUGCACGAGAGGCUUUGGUUCAAGAGUGUACAAGAGCCAAUUCUGCUGGACUAAGAAUAGAGAACAGUGUUGUUUCAGGGAAAAGACAGUUACGUAUAAUUCGGAUUAAAAGAUGCAUCGUAUUUUGUGAGAACUAGCUAUGCGACCAAUGUGGGCACGGGGUAGCUCGAUUCGAUUACCUGUUCUAAUCCGUUCUGACAGCAAGUUGCCACACAGCGAUUAGUGAGUAAUAUAUCUUUCCUUAUCAUUCUACCACUACAACUUACUGAAGCAAAGCAUACUUACGAUACUAGUUCACCCUAGGGUAAGUAAUUUAUGAGCCAUUCCUGAGCAAAAAUGAAAAGUUUAGUUGUGACUUGUGACAGUAAUUACAAUUUACAGUCACACUCCUGACUCACCUAAAAAAUAUAAUAUUCAAUAUCUGUUGUAAAUUUUUAGUAAAUAUAACUAAAAAGAGAAAAAUAACUAUGAGGAUGCCUGCACACCUAGCACUUCUAUUAGGCUCCGCCAUUAUAAAUAUCUGCUACUCAUACAGCAAAUGUGGAAAACUAGUAUGAUAUCAACUCCCACACCUUGAUCGUCCCAUCAUCGCUUGCAGAGGCUAGUACCGGCUUCUCCUAUUUAGUAAAUAAGACUGUUACAAAUUGCAGAGAAAGACACAGGAAGCAGAAAACAAUGCUGAUAUAGGUCACCAUUCUCGAAAUAUGGACUUGGAUUUCAAUAUAAGGAUUUAUCCCUUAAUAACAACUGCACUAAUGUAGAGGUUCAAAACAUCCGCACGUUUUCAGACACCGAGAAGAGCACCUAAACAAAAGGAUCUGAUGCAAGUCGAAAAAUACACGGAGAAACUGAGAAGGGUGAUUCUUAUAUUAAGAAAAAUUCGAAACCAGAUUCUCCAGCUCGUCAGUAUACUCGAACAGUAAUGCAAAUAUAGAAGAAUAUUAGGCUCAUUUCUUCAAAAUAAAACAUAGUUCAAAUAGAAACUCGAUGCAAAUAAAUAAAGUUGCAAAUACAGUUAAUGUUAUAACUGUUUGACUGAGUGUUCUCUGCACUUCAGUUGUAAAUAAAGAAACAUCUGGCAUUGGUUUGUCAAAUCUUUUGCUACUCUUGUCCUUGUUAUCAAGUACAAAAAGAUUAAGAAAUUCCAGGUUAUUGAUAUGCACAAAUAGCCAAUAGAAUUAUAGAAUCACAGUGUCUGUGAUUUAAAGUGAUUGAUUUUACAACGGAAAAGGAAACUAGUAAUAGACACACUGGCAUACAAGGAUAAAAUAUCUAUAUGCUCCCACUGGCAUCCCUAGAGUGAAAGUUACAUGCCAUGCUAAAUAAUGACACUUGUUCUCCCCACCAGUACUCAAAACUCAAAAGGAAAAAAGAGGGACUUAGGGUGAGGGACCAGCAGCCUAUGACGUCAACGGAGUUGAUGAGCAAAUUUUCUGGUCAUUAAAACCAGCAAAUUCACAGCAUAGGUUAGCUGGGCAUUUUAAGUUUAAAGCAAGUGAAGCCUAUGCAAUUUAUUGUGCAUCCACAACUUAGUAACUGUUAUUCUCUUAAUUAGGAUACCCAGCAGCUGUAACUUAGUAACUGUAGUUCCCCCUUAAUUAGGCUACCCAACUGUAAGAUAAAUGUAUAUAUAGCAGUUUAGCUAAUUAUUGGGCUGAAAAUCAUAUUGUAUUAUAUGUGUGUGAGGGUGUUUGUCUGUGUGUGAAAAAGAGAGAGAGAAUUUUUAUUUCUCCAGCAGGAGAACACAGUUUUUGGCCUACACUUUUCUGAGUUUGGCAUAUGAAUAUAUUCACUUAACAUUCUCA